CAUGCCUAAUACAUGCAAGUCGAACGCGACCAGCCGGUGCUUGCACUGGCGAAGUCGAGUGGCGAACGGGUGAGUAACACGUGAGAAACCUACCCUGGAGUGGGGAAUAACUCGAAGAAAUUCGAGCUAAUACCGCAUACCUUCUUACCGUCGAAUGGUGGUUUGAAGAAAGAUUUAUCGCUCUGGGAGGGUCUCGCGGCCUAUCAGCUAGUUGGUGAGGUAACGGCUCACCAAGGCAUCGACGGGUAGCUGGUCUGAGAGGACGAUCAGCCACACUGGAACUGAGACACGGUCCAGACUCCUACGGGAGGCAGCAGUAGGGAAUCUUGCGCAAUGGGCGAAAGCCUGACGCAGCAAUGCCGCGUGCGGGACGAAGGCCCUAGGGUCGUAAACCGCUUUCAGUAGGGACGAAAAUGACGGUACCUGCAGAAGAAGCUCCGGCCAACUACGUG
rnacentral:rRNA from 1 species